AUUAUGAGCCCAACAUAACCUAUUGAUGAGAUCAGAGCCUUGAGAUCUGAUGAUCCAAUCCCAAGAGUCCCACCCACCUCUGAACAUUGCUGGAGUGGACGACAAACCUUCAACAUAUGCGACUUUGAGACAUUUCUGAUCCAAACCAUAAAGGUGAGCGGCUUUCCUCCGCCAUGCCCUUCCCCCAUGAUGGUUCUGCGUUGGAACCAGGUGACCGUGGACAGAAACCUCUGAAACCGUGAGCUGAAACACAUCUUUUCUGCUCCACAAGACCAAGACCAAGACGGAAGUUGACCCUUCAGCCUGCAUUGCAGAGGGAGGCCUCCUCACUGUCAGUGUGUGCCAGCAAGCAAUACAAGUUCUAUGCUGAAAAGCACUAGGAUCUUGGAGGCCUUUUGUUAUUGCAACAGAGUUUUGCCUAAGAUGAUACGUGCAGAUAGUGGGCCCAGAGAUGUGGUGCUGAUCUAACAGCAAUCCCAUAGUAGAUCUGUAACAGUUACCUACAAGAAAAACGGACACUGCGAUCUUGUGGCUUUCAGCAAGAUGCAGGAGAACUAAAGGUCGGAAACAUGAGUUUACUUCUGUAGCUCCCUUGAGACCAGGGACUGUGAAAAUAUGAGCUCAGAAAAAGGAUUUCCAUUUCAAGAGCAGAACUGAAAGGGAAAUAUGGGAAAUGCAGAAAUUCCACAGAUGGAAAGUCAGAACUGGGCAUAAAGAGGAUGAUGAAAUAAGGAGAACAGUGGCCGGGCGUGGUGGCACACGCCUGUAAUCCCAGCACUU